GUGCAUAGUUCCUAUUUUCGUUUUGUACAAACAAACUUCUUUUGUUGAUGGUGGCCAAGGCCAACGAUAGACAAUGGCGACACCAGAACCAAUAAGUAAUGUGACAACGGAUCUAACCGAGGAGUCUCCAGAAAAACCAAUUGUUGAACCAGCACAUCCGAACUUUGAACCCACAUUGCAACAAUCUCCUAUUCCUAUAUUCCCGAAAUAUAGGAGAUCAUGGAAAUCCAGACUGGCUGUCCUUCAAAAUUUCAAAUUCUUUGCAAUAUUUUUAAUCCCAAUAUUCCUGAUUUGGCUGCUCUUUAUUCCUUCAGUCUUACCAAAAAGCAGGGACAACAAAGGACUUUUCAUACUCUUAACCACCGGAUGCUAUUGGUUAGUUGACUGCAUGCCAUUUCCAGGGGCUGCUUUUAUAC